AUACGUAGGGUGCGAGCGUUGUCCGGAAUUAUUGGGCGUAAAGAGCUCGUAGGCGGUUUGUCGCGUCGGCCGUGAAAACUUGGGGCUUAACUCCAAGCUUGCGGUCGAUACGGGCAGACUUGAGUUCGGCAGGGGAGACUGGAAUUCCUGGUGUAGCGGUGAAAUGCGCAGAUAUCAGGAGGAACACCGGUGGCGAAGGCGGGUCUCUGGGCCGAUACUGACGCUGAGGAGCGAAAGCGUGGGGAGCGAACAGGA
rnacentral:rRNA from 1 species